rnacentral:rRNA from 1 species
CCUACGGGAGGCAGCAGUGGGGAAUUUUGGACAAUGAGGGCAACCCUGAUCCAGCAAUGCCGCGUGAGUGAAGAAGGCCUUCGGGUUGUAAAGCUCUUUUGUCAGGAAAGAAAUCGUUCUGGAUAAUACCUGGGACGGAUGACGGUACCUGAAGAAUAAGCACCGGCUAACUACGUGCCAGCAGCCGCGGUAAUACGUAGGGUGCAAGCGUUAAUUGGAAUUACUGGGCGUAAAGCGUGCGCAGGCGGUUGUGCAAGACAGAUGUGAAAUCCCCGGGCUUAACCUGGGAACUGCAUUUGUGACUGCACGGCUAGAGUGUGUCAGAGGGGGGUAGAAUUCCACGUGUAGCAGUGAAAUGCGUAGAUAUGUGGAGGAAUACCGAUGGCGAAGGCAGCCCCCUGGGAUAACACUGACGCUCAUGCACGAAAGCGUGGGGAGCAAAACAGGAUUAGAUACCCUGGUAGUCCACGCCCUAAACGAUGUCAACUAGUUGUCGGGUCUUAAUUGACUUGGUAACGCAGCUAACGCGUGAAGUUGACCGCCGUGGGGGNGGACGGUCGCGAGAAGUAAAACGUUAAAAGUAAAGUUAGUACGACGUGAGACGUAGACGACGACGACGACGAGGGAGGAGG